rnacentral:lncRNA from 1 species
ACUUGUGAAGUCACAGACAGCUCAGUUUGCAUAUCUGAAACGCAAGUGGCUGGUGGGGCAUGGUGUGAAAAUGCCUUUAUUACAAGGAACUUAAGCUAAAACUAGGAGGCCACCACUUAGCACUUUACUGAUUGUGAAGAUCAUCACAUCAGAUUCUCCACCAAACUGCUCUGAUGAGCAGUGUCAUCCCUGGACAGCUAGCAGGAUAUCAUGCAGUUUGUACACAUUAUCAUGGGAGUGAAACUAACUGCUACACAAAGAGGACAUGGUCUGUGCUCUGCAACAGCAACUGCAUACUUCAUAGUCCUUUCCAUGUCCAUACUGUUACCCAUGCAUGAGCUAUCAACAGCUACUACCCGUGAAUGAGUAAUUUACCAUAUUCACAAAAGUAUCUUUUUCUGCUUAUACUGUUUGGCCUCUCUUGUGGAAAUAUUAUUAAGAUGGUUUGCUGUUCUUG